AUCCCUGUAUACCUGAGGCCUUCUAAAGAAAAAACCCAUCAGGGUUUGCAAGCCAGAUGUGUGCAUGCCAUAUUUGCAACUGGGCAAUGUCAUCUCCCUCUCCAAAUUUCAGGGAACUGAAGUGUUUUCCAGAGCCCUCUCUCUCUACUGGAAGGAUACUGAGGGUUUUACGGAAGCAGCUGAGAAGUGGGCAGGGCUGGAUCCUCCUGAGCCCCGUAAACAGGAAGCUGGCUGCAUGUUGAGCAUCUCCAGUGCGCCUGGCGGGGUUGGUUGUGCAGAGAGCCAGGAUCUCAGAUCCAUGUGAUGAGAGAAGUGCAUUUGGCAGCACUGGAGCUGCUGAUGAGCGAUGCGGUUAUCUCAGCAUGGCGGUGCUGGAGGAAGGCAGGCAGGUUUCCAUCCUGAUCCAGCAUUUCCUUAGGUUAUCUCCAUGCAUUGCCACAAUUCCUGAAGGAAUCACUGCUAUGAUUCAGGACGCUGCAAAAUCAUCUGGCCCACCUCUGCUCCACACUCAUCCUAAAGACGUCAAAGGAAGUGAGUGCCAUGGGCAGACAAAGCAGGGAGGGGAGGCCGCCUGCCGGGCAGCGUGCAGAGCAGGUCAGCAGCAGCCACAGCCUCAUUUGAUAGCAAAACCAGGUCAGGUCAUGGCCAGAAUUGCAGGAAGCAUCAUCAUCUGUGAAGCCUGUGAAGAGCUUUGGGCUGCCGUGAUGCCUGCUUUCUGCCUUCUCUUACCUCAGCCAAACCAACUACAGGACUUCAGCUGCCCCUCAUGUGCUUUGCCCUGUAGGUUUCUCCCCAUCUCUGUAGCCCUCCCCUCCUCUGCACGCUCUCCAGCAAUCUGCUGUCCUUCUGCUCUCUAACCUCUUCUAUUUGCUUGAGCAGCACUGUUGAGAACUCAGUUUGGUGCUGGAAUCAUGUUAUUUAUGUGAGGUGCUGGGCUGAGAUCAUUGCUUUGGUCUCUGGGCUUUGCAUGAUAGCAGCUCAGCUCAGAGCCCAUAUGCCAUUCUCCUCCAGGACAGAGACCUCCAUCCUCACCCCCCUCAUUACUGUCCCUAUUAGAGAUUUCAUUUCCCAGCUCUGUCUUGAUGGUGUCUCUGAGGAGGCAUUGCUUGCUGUUAAUGCCUCUGCUCCCUCAGGACUUAGCCAAGUGAUGGGGUUAAUUUGGGAGGGGGCUGGAGGUGCAGUUCCAGGAGAUGGCAAUUAACAGGAGACAGCACUUAGGGAUCUCACUGCAAAUAAAAAAAAAACCACGGGUCCUGGCUCCUGUGGUAUCAAGGAAUGGUUUAAGGGGGUUGUCCACAGCCCGGGAACCUGGGAGUGAUUUGGGGCAAAGCAAUGUCCUCUGCACCAAUUUGGUCUUGCAGAAACACAAGAGCAUGCAGAGAAAGGGUCACAUCUCAGAGCCUCCUUACCCUAAGGAUGUGGAGAUUUUUAGAUUGAGAUUUAGAUUCUGCUCAGGGCCUGCAGUGUGCUGCAAUCAAUACAGCCCAGGCUGAAGGCGAUUUAAUUGUGGCAAGUAAUGAACCAGUGCCCUGGGGAAAUGCUUGUAGAUGGAAGUCGAGGAAUUUGCUCAGAUCCGUGCAGAGGUGGGCAGUGGGGUGAUUCUGAACUUGGAGUUUUUCCCCUUUUUUGGAAGAAAAAAUGUCUCUCUACCUCUAUUUCCCCUUAACAUGAAAAUCAUCAUCUAUUCUCUGUAGGAGAAUGGGCAGCUAAAUAUUACAAACUGCAUAAUUCCAGGAAAAGCUGCUCCCUUUACGCUGCAGAGAGGAAUGUGGAAAAGCAAUUUAAAAAGCCCAAGAGAAAUAAUUAUCAAAAGCCACGGCAGCCUGGAGCCGAUGGGGCGCACAUGGCAGAGCUCAGCCUGGGGCUGCCAUGGCUGAAAACGUUUGUGCCAGUAGAGCAAGUGUAGGUGGGUGCCAAUACAGCUGAAGCACACAUCAUAAAUUGGUGUAAAUGCCCUGACAGUUGCAGGAGUGCAUGAGUGUUUGGUGUUACAAGGUUAUGAACUUCUGGGAGUCUUGUAGUGAAAUACCAAAUAACCACUGGUGCCUUUUUAAUUCUUGCUCUAUUCUGACUGUUUAUUCUUGCUGGGUUUUUUUUUAGCUAUAACUUUCUGGAGGCUGUGGGCGAUGCUGUUUUUUAAGGUGACUGUGGAGGGUGGUUCCAGCAUCGCCGAAAAGCACUUUCUGGGCCCUCUAGUGGUGUGCUGUGCUGAGAGCCCGAUCUGCCUCCAAGCCCAUCCUUUUGUCCCACGGAAAUAACCAGUCAAUACACCCAAUUAUUUCUCACGAAAUGAGGAGAAAAAUCCCAAAUCCCCCUGUCUUUUUUUUUUUUUAUUAAAUUCUUCUUAGAACGCAGCUAUGGAAGGAGCAGUGCAUCUGUUUGGUUAAAACCCUCCCUCUGCCUCUUCAGAACCAACGAAUGCACACAGACACUCAUUUCAAAACUGAAAACCCCCUUUGAAAAGACAAAGGUGGGCUGAUGCGUGGUGAGGACACCAGGGUAAUGGGGGACGCGUGCCUUUCUCUACCAUUUGUUCCUCCCAUUAUGGUUUGUAAAGAAAAUAAUGUCACAGGGGUCUUAUCAGGGAGCUGGGAAGAGACAGGGGAUUUGGGAAGAGCUUACGUGUUUCUUUCCAAGCUGUGUUUCUAAAAUAAGUUGAUGUUUAUUUGGUUGCGAGGGAAAAACGUUUAAUUUGAUUUCCUGUCCAUGUUGGAAACAGCAAACAUUUUAACAAAGGGGAGGAUGGGAAAAGGUGGCUGGAAAAGCGACCUCUGUAGGUGUUUGGGCUUUGUUUGUUGAGUACACCAUUGCUGACAGCAUCAUCCUCAGCCUCCCUGCCUGCCAUACACCAGCACUUAGCUGUGUGUGCCCUGGGGGUUUGUGCCCUGCCAAGUAGGGUUGUGAGUUUUGACUGAAAUGGCUCUUUCUGGUGGCUUAGCAGAUGUAGGCAGAGGCAGCAUGAGCUGCAAAGGCCUUGGGGUGGGUUCUGCCCUUUACUACCUGGGCAUCCAGCCUUUCUUUGGGAUUUUUGACACCUUCAUGGGUUUGUUCAGGAGGUAAAACAAGGGUGUUAAGGUGGAUAUCCAGGGAUCUUGGGAUAGAUUUAGUGGAAACCUCCCCUCCAUAUUGAGUUUUCAGCUUAAACAAUGCUCUCCCAUUCCUUUACCUGUUGGCCUACCUGGGAUGGUGCAAAAUUCAAAGCUGAAUUUUUCCAAGUCUGGAUGCUGCAGCUGACUACUCUAUAGGUCUAAGCAUAAGGGAUCCCAAACCCUUCACCUCACCAACACAGUCUGCUGGUUUUAAUGGAUUUCAAAUGCAAACCAGCCUGACUGUGCUGCUCUGGCAGCCAUGGGAACUUCAUAUCACCAUUCUGGUUGCAUUUGGAUUUGGGCACUGUAGUCUUGGGAACCACGUAGAGCAGCCAACAUCAAAAUGUAACAAAGCAAGACCUGGAUGUGUGAGGAUGGAGGGGUGUCUUUUUAAUUACAAUAAUGGGUGAUACUAAGAGUAAUGGUGGUAGUAAUGAUUAUUACAGGUGAAUGAAAAAGUGGCUGGGCUGUGCCAAGCACAGCAAGAGGCAGACAGCUAAAAUGUUGAAGGGCAUUGUGCCUUUAUAGGCUUCUCUUUUGGAGAAGGGAGGAUGAGUGGGAAGAGUGGAAGACAAGAAAAAGGGAAGAUCUGUCAAAAAGGGCUGCUUGGGGUGGGUUUGCCAGCACACCCACUUCUUCUGUGGGCUGGCAUCUCAGGCUGAGUCAGCGCUCCCUAGAUGAGUGUGCCCAUGGACCUGGUAACCUGAGGUUCCUUUUGGUGCUUCUAUAUUCCUCUCCAUAGUGCUCCUGUGGCGUGCAGCUACUCCUGAGAGGAGAAAAACCAGUGCCUGCCCUUGAAUGUCUGGUGCAAGUUGUGUUCCCAUGCAUAAGGGAGAUGGGAGCUAGAGCUCCAUCAAUGCCAGCAGCCCCCCACCUUAAGGGCAAGAACAGAUUGGUUCUUAUAAGCUGGAGGAAACUGGGGGAAGUUCUGUGUUAGGUGCAGCACACAGGAACAGUGGCUAUGGAGUAAAUACACACACAUACAGAUAAAUCUUCCUCUUGGAAGAUCUUGUGUGGUGCUGGUCCUGCACCAUGGGGUGAGUGUUUUGGUCCCUCCUCUGUGCAUGGGGCACUGCACUGUUAUUUUGGGAUUGCAUUACAUAUCUCCCCAGAUGGAAAGCCUCGCUCCCCAGCCGGCUAUAAAACAAAAAAAAAAGGAAAGGUCCUGACCCUAUCAGUAAAACAGCAACCAUGUUUCUUGGGGAGAAAUCCUUUUACGAGGCAGAGUGGAGGAAGUUUGGGGUUGGGGGAUGGAGCUGGAGGCAAAAUGGGGAUCAAAAGAGCUGAGCCUGUUCAUUUAGAGACUGGUGAAGGUUACAGCAGCGUGAGGUGGGGAUACAAUUACAGAAGGGCUUCGUUAACAAACUGCAGCUUUAUGUGCAGUGGUGGGAGGGAGGUGAAAUCCCAGCCAGCAGGAUGCUCUGGCUGCUCAGCACCGGUGAAAUGGGUGGAGGAAGGUAGAGGAGCUUUACUUCUUUGUUGGUAUUUAAAUGGAAGUGAGUCUGCACCACUUUUGUCUUCUGAAGCUGUGAAUGUUUUCUGAUAGAGGGAAAAACCUCUGUGGCUGUAUGAAAUCCAUAAUGUAUCAGUGGAAAAUGGGGAUUUUAUUGAGAGCAAAUUGUGGCUGGGAUUGCUUUCUUCCCUUCCAACUUUUCCCAUUAAAAGCAAACAAAACCAGAAGACAGGGCUUCGACAUAUCUGAUCCUGCAGGCUUUUGGUUUCUGAAGAGAAAAAAUGAAGGCUGUUUUGGGGAACCAAACCAAAAAAGGAUAGUUUGUUUUCAGUGGAGGCUUUGGGUUCUCCCAGGAGGGCUCUGUCUGAUUGGGGCAGGUGAGGAGCAGGGAUGUCAGUGUUCACCUGUUUUGGCUGUUUCACAUCUGAAAGUCUGUGAUAUCUUUGGGUUUUAACAGAACUCUUUUUUUUCUUUUGUCUAUUUGGCAUUUGAGAGGAUUUCUGUCUGCUCAAACAUCUCUGUGAUGUUUUUUAGGCUGCUGGAAUGGUUUCCACUAAGGCAGCUUCUCUUCAAUGGAGGACACACCAUCACGCACAGGAAAAUAUCAGCUUCCUUCUGAAAAGGGUAAUUUCGUCAAAGCAUAGAGCUGUCUGCAUUUUUGGAGAUGAAUUUGACCUUUUUCAGCACGUUUCCUCCCUGUCUCACUUUCAGUCAAAAUUUCCCUGGACACAAAAUCAUUUUCUGACCAAUUUUACUCACCAACCCCUCACCCAGUCCACCGAAGCCUUGAGAACAGCUCCCAAAUCCCCCAGUAGGUGUGAGAUGUUGCAGCUGCUGUUCAAUGAACAGGUGUGUCCCCAUGUCCCAGUUUCUCUGUUUAAGUAAAUGAUGCUUUUUCACCAUUGCAAAGCACCUCUUGACUUUUAUGGUUGCCAAGGACUGCUUGCAACAGCUUUAUAUUUGUGUUUACUGCCACCUGUACCAGCAGCACUGCUUGGACCCAUCAGGGAUGCUGCAUAGUUUUCCCUGGGCAGUAAAAUACACAGCCUUCCCCCCAAAAAGAGGAGGGGGGAAAAAAAGGAUUGCAGAUGCGGACAGGAGGGAGACUGUUUAUGUAAGAGCACGUGGAUUAAUUGCAGCAGGUCUUGGUUUUAAACAAUAUUUAGUCUCAGACACUUUGCUCUCCCCUUUCCCAUGCCUGCUGCUGCCAGUUGUGGUGAGGGAGAUGUGGGGGCUUGGUGGGUGGAAUGCCUGAGAUUUCCUCUAUUUUAUCUCCUGACACCUGCAAACAAUAUUUACCCUUUCCCAUUAGCUAUUACUGUCCUGCAAAAUGAUGCAAUUAAAGGCUUUGAUCUACAAAUGGAUUAAAAUUCACCUCCAGAAAGCAGAUUGCCACUGAGACUCUGGUGCUCUCUUCUCUGACCUUGGCCCCUCUCAGCCUAUUUGCAUUGAUCUGUCACAAAGGCGCAUCCUUAUUUCCAAACGUGAUUUGAAGGGAGGACUUAGAGCCCAUAAAGCCAUUUUCUGCCCUUCGGUUGAGUCAUGCUCCAUGUUUUUUUCCCCCCCUGUGUAACAGCUACAAGAGCCAGCACUAAGCAUUGCCACCCAACGGCUGCAGUUCUCUGCUCUCUGUGCCUAUUUAUUUUGUUUUUCCUAUUGCUGGGGCUCUAUUGCUCUGCAGACCUUUAUCUUGAUCUCGAGUGCUGCUCAGCUUCUGGGUGAGCUGCCUGCACAACAAAGCAAAACCCAGCAAACUGAAGCAAAAUGCUGCUGCUGCCUUUACCAUGGGCUGUUCUCAACCCGCCCCAUGAGCAGAAGUGAGAUGGGGAGCUCUUUUCACGUGGACGUGAAACCAACCUCACACGUAACUCUGAGUCACUGUGCUGUUUGUCUUGGUUUUUUUGGGUGUUCAUGGCAACACUCAGAACCCCGGCUUGGGCAGACAACAGAAAUUUCUGUGCUGCAUCUGUGUGACUUUCAGAGAGGUACAGUGCAGGAGGGAGGUUUGAUGCUGAGCAUCAACAAUGCGCUGGCCCAGUAUUUUGAGAGAUGUGGGUCCCCUGCCGACUGAUCAGUUCCUUUAGGUGCACAUUGCUGAGCCACAGGUGAGUUGCACCAGACUGAAAACAUUCAGCCUGCAGCAGAAGUUUGCAAUGGCCCAAGCUUUGGUCUUAGACAGCCCCACAUUGCAAUGGUGCUGGAGCUCAGGGCACUCUUGCACACUAGGAUACCACCAGUCCAAGCUGAGUACAUCAAUGCUGAUGAGCUUUGCUUUCCUCUCUCACUUUCUCCACUUUUUUUGUGUGUGUGUGUUAGCAUGUUACCUGCAGCAUGGUUUCAGGACGUGUGACUCAGGAGUGCCUUUCAGCCUGCAGGCUUGCAGCAAGCUGCUCCCUGGGUUUGCAGAGGCACCAUCAAAGCCUCUUGGACUUGGGCACUCCCGAAACCCUCCCAUGGCAUGUGGGUGGGAGAUUUUGCAAAAGCCCUCGUUGCCUUUGGAGCAGAGGUACAGUUCUGAGUGGUGUUCAAGCUCCUAAAUCAUCCUGAAACCUUGAUGCUUUGUGCUGUACGGUCUUCAUGAAAUCUGUGAUUUAUUGUGGGGUUUUAUUCCUGCUCUCUCCAGGAGCUUGAAUGUGGUCAUUACAAUUGUGCCUUCUCAUAGCAUCGUUUUCUGUCUUCUCUCCCUCCUACACUUACAUUUUCCCCAAGCAGCUUAAAGCUGCCUGACAUUCCUGCAGUCCUUUCCAGUCCCCUUUCUUUUCUAUCUCCACCCCUAUUUUGCCAAUAUCUACCCAGAGCUGCACUCCCAAACCACAGGAGGGCUGAAGAUGCUGGAGCAAACUGUGGGAAAAGGGGAUAAAAAGCAGCAGAGCCAAAGUUUUAUCCUUCACUUGGGUGAGUUUUGUUUCUCCAGCCUUUUCCCACCCUGUGCAGCAAAAUAAAGAUUUACAUUAAUAAGAAACAUCCUCAGCAGUGCUGGGGAGGAGAGUGAGAGGAGGCGUUUGCAGGCUACGAAGUUCCCAAUAUUUGCCCCAUUCGCUGUUGUGCAUCUUCCUGAUGGGAUCAGAUGGGAUCUUAUCCCAUUACAUCUCCAGAAAUCUUUGUGUUAACGUUUUCCUGGCUGCUACUUGGGGUUGCAAAUGCUUUGGUGGAAGAGGAGCCUGGCUCCCAUUGGGAUGUUCUCCAAACCCCGUGUACCGGCAGGAGAGCAAACCAACGCCGUGGUGUGUGUGAAGGACCAGCCCAGAGCACUGGCGCUGAGCUUCCAUCCACCAGUGAUUUUAUUUAAGGAUAUUUUUGCACCCAUGAGUGCGUUCCACACCUACGACUCACCGCCAAGCUGUGCACCAAAUCUGCUCUAGACAACAAUGCUUGGCUGGAGCUGCCACUAAGCAACACCAGCCAAACAUACACUAAUGAAUAGGGGAAACAAUUCCUGCUCGUGCCUAUUUUUAAAAGCUGCAUCUCCACAAGGUUGUUAAUUAUAGAUUGAGCUGCAAGCAGCUGGAAGCAAUGCCAGCCAUCCUGCACGGCU